AAAAAGCGCGUUAAGGAUUGAAAUGGCAUCCUUUUUUCUUUUUCUGAAAAAAAGAUAUAAUGGAAAGCCUGUUAAAAC
rnacentral:sRNA from 1 species